AUACGAAAGGUGCAAGCGUUGUUCGGAUUUACUGGGCGUAAAGAGAGUGUAGGUGGUUUAUUAAGUCGGAUGUGAAAUCCCGGGGCUCAACCUCGGAACUGCAUUCGAUACUGAUAGGCUAGAGUUUGUGAGGGGUAAGCGGAAUUCCGUGUGUAGCAGUGAAAUGCGUAGAUAUACGGAGGAACACCUGAGGCGAAGGCGGCUUACUGGACCAAUACUGACACUGAGACUCGAAAGCGUGGGUAGCAAACAGAAUUAGAAACCCUAGUAGUCC
rnacentral:rRNA from 1 species